UAAGUAGUGACCGAAUGAGGGAAUGGAACCAAAGGAAAGCUAGACAACUGUCCACCAAACUUAAGCGGUGGAAGGGAGAAACCAAUAGGAUUUGGCCUCUGGUCUAGGGCGGUGAAUAACACCUGUAUGAUAGCUGCCCAUUUAAUUGCUAAUUGAAGUGAUGAUCAAAGGGAGAAGGGAGACAGCGGUGACAUUACCUGGGCGGUGGCCGAGUGAGGAAACACAUUCGUACUUCUUUUCUUACCAACCGAAUAUUGAGAGCAAGGCCGAGAGAGCAAGGAGGAGUGAGUUAAACAGUUGUUAGUUGCAAUCUCCUGUUUGUAACCGUAGAACCGUGAACCAGGAAGGAGUACAAGGGGGAGUCUGAUACAGUGGCAACUGAAGCAGGAACCAAACGUGCAGCCGCAAUUUUUUGUCAAACGUUAAAGGGGAGAAGACAGUGGUGAGCUAGACGGAGCCGGUGGGGUCUACUAACUAUCACACGUGAAGUGAUUUUCGCCCUUGUACUAUUUUUGUACUUUGUGGGCCGACGUGGGGAACUUUUGGCACUAUCACUAGAAUAAUUAGGCUUGGUUUGUAAUAGUCGGAUAACUAAGAUGUUUCUUCUUAUUUUGGUGAUCUGUAUAAGGACCCCUCUUUGGGUCUACUUUCUACUUUUGAAUACUAGCAUUGGAUAAUGUAGUAGUCUGGAUAACUCCUUUUGAGAAUGUAAAUAGAACACUUUUGGGGUUGUAUAUCUAUUGACUAGUACGUUUUUGGUUUA